GAUGAACGCUGGCGGCGUGCUUAACACAUGCAAGUCGAACGGAAAGGCCCAAGCUUGCUUGGGUACUCGAGUGGCGAACGGGUGAGUAACACGUGGGUGAUCUGCCCUGCACUUCGGGAUAAGCCUGGGAAACUGGGUCUAAUACCGGAUAGGACGAUGGUUUGGAUGCCAUUGUGGAAAGUUUUUUCGGUGUGGGAUGAGCUCGCGGCCUAUCAGCUUGUUGGUGGGGUAAUGGCCUACCAAGGCGUCGACGGGUAGCCGGCCUGAGAGGGUGUACGGCCACAUUGGGACUGAGAUACGGACCAGACUCCUACGGGAGGCAGCAGUGGGGAAUAUUGCACAAUGGGCGCAAGCCUGAUGCAGCGACGCCGCGUGGGGGAUGACGGCCUUCGGGUUGUAAACCCCUUUCGCUAGGGACGAAGCGUUUUUGUGACGGUACCUGGAGAAGAAGCACCGGCUAGCUACGUG
rnacentral:rRNA from 1 species